rnacentral:lncRNA from 1 species
UUGAGAGAGUGGAUGCGGCAGAGAGUGUGAGAAGAGCUCUCUUAAACGAAGAAGAUGAAUAAAGAAGGAAAUAGAACCUUUCAAUUGAUAUCAAAAGAACAGUUUGCAGAUAAUGCAACAAUAAAGAGAAGUGCCCUAAUUUAUAGGUAAUUUGUAGUUUUGGUUUUUCAAACCCUUGGAUCACAAAUAAUAAAAAAAGCCCAUGGGAAAUACACCUCUCUCGCGUGAAUCCAUUUCAACGGUAAUAACAUCUUUAUUUUUAGACUAAAUCUUUUGCAUUUAUAAUUUAGAUUUUUAUAUUUCAUGCUGUGUAUUUAUAAUUUAAAUUUUUAUAUUUCAUGCUGUGUAUUUAUAAUUUAAAUUUUUAUAUUUCAUGCUGUGUAUUUAUAAUAUAGAUUUUUAUGUUUCUGUGUAUUUAUAAUUUAGAUUUUGGGUAAGAUUGAUGGCCCAGAUCUGCGACUUGUGAGCAUUCCCUUGAUCAACAGUUCUGCCCCAACUUUGGCAAAUUCAGCUUCUUUUGGGUUCGACAGUUCCCAAUUCAUUCCCUUAAUCAAUUUCAACAGUUCCUGUCACAUGGUUUCGAAUUGUAUUAUGCACAAUAAAUAUUCUAGAAUUAAACGGGGAAGGAAUAUUGUCGUAACCAUUUAUGAAAACAGAAACAGAAAUACUGUUAUGAAACUAGAAAGAUGAUUUUGGAAUAAGCAAUAAUUACAAGUAGUUGGGUUGUUGCUUUGUGGUAUAUUAUUAUCUAAUUGAACCAAUUAUAUCUAAAUACUAUUAUGCUUUGUGAUUUGCUGCAUAAUGGUUCAGCCUUCUUAUGUGGUCUGAAAACAAGCAUUGUAGUCAAGGCCACCUGUGAAUCCUGAUUUAUCAAAUUUAGAAGCAUAGUAAGACAGAUCUUCUUUGAGAGCCAUGAUGGGAGUGGAUGCUCACAAGUCGUAGAUCUGUCUAGCUUAGCAGUUAUUUUAUUGCUUCAGUAGCUUAGCUUAUGCAUGCGCAGCAUCUUUGGUUGGUUUAUAAGUAUUCUUAUGUGGUCUGAAAACAAGCAUUGUAAUGUACCCACAAGAGAUGUUUAACCAAUCAAAAUCAGUAAGGUAUAAAAUGUUGCACAAAAACAGUGGAGAUCCUUCACAAUCUCUGUGGUAAGAUCAUGGCAGCAGGUAUGGUUUUCAGAGCUUUUUCUCUUUUGCACUCUGAUACAAAUAUUCAGAUAUCAAUUCUUCAUUGCAGGUCUUCUCUUUCUUCAUCUUGCUUCUUGAACCUCACAGUUUUCAUUGGUUGCGUGUGAGGAUUUAUAUCUUAUCCUUUGCGAUCAAGCAAUUGAUUGGAAGAUUCAUGCAGAAAGUCACUGCUGUGAGUUUUUCUUUUUAAUAAAAAAUUGAAUAUUAUUUGGGUCAUGCUUCAACAUGAUUUCAAUAUGUCGCGCAUAAUUAGAGAAAACUUGAUACUGAAUAUCAUUUGAAAGAUAGUAUUGUUCUAUAGGGUUAACAACCAUCCUUUCCAUCUUAUUCUCUCAAGUAAAUGAGACUUUCCUUGACGAAAUAUGAUAAAAAAUUCCUCGCUCAUUUCGUUAUCAUGUAUCUAUGAUUCUUGUUUUGAUUCUUGUUUAUGGAGCCACCUCUCAUUGCAUUGGCACCUGUUAAUGAAGUAGCAGUUAUCGCCUUGGAAUAUAUGUAGCUAUAUGGUUGAUGCAACAUGUCAUCGGCUCGUCAGGUUUCUCCAAAAGAUUUAUCUCGUAGGACAGCACUGUCAACUGUCAUACAAAAAUGUGUACAUUUUAUAAAUAAAGUAGAGUAAN